rnacentral:lncRNA from 1 species
CAGGGAAAAAAAAUCCUGUUUUUCUCAUUUAUUACGGUGAAGAUUUUUUCUUUAAGAAGUGGCAAACUUUCCAGUCAUUUGUGGUUCUGCAAGUUGGAAUGGGGUCAUUCCUGUGAAUGGAAACGUGAUGUGAAGCAGGACCCUGCCCUGGACAGACCUGAGAAGUGAGUGAGCCGAGAGCCGUCCUUCUCCCUAGGACUCAUGGCCUUUCCCUUCUUUCCCCACCUCCACUCAAGCCUGAGCUCAGCAAAUUCUUUGACCUUUGAAAUGAACUCAUAUGACUUUAUCUGUAAGUCGUCUUCCUGAAGAUGGCCUACCUUGAGAUUGUCCUCCCUCCUAGAGCAUUGGAAAUCAAAGCCUGCCCUUCCUCUUGGUGUCAAAGUACCUAAAGGCAUUCAGGGCCUGGGUCUGAGGAGGGUGGUCUUAGACAGGAUCGUGUUCCCAGAGUCCUUAGAGUCAACCCGCUUGGAAACCGCUGCUCACCAGGAAGCGGUGGCCGCUCUGGCCUGGGGCGGCUGGCAUGAUGGAAAACUUUUGCACCCGAAGGUUUCUGAAACAACUUUCAAAAACUUUCAGAGAGAAGCAUAUUUGUUUUUUCCACGGAUAGACUAAAAAGGAAACCAUGCUCUUAUGUCCAGCGCUGUCCUCUUGGAACCGUAUCGCACUGAGUCCAGUUUAGCCAGCGUCUGUGGAGGAAGAGCCGAGCAGACCUGCACAGGCUGCAGGAAGCCAGGCGUUUGUGUUCUGAGGUGCAUAGUGGGCGAGGACCUGAGGGGUGGACUACAGCAAGCAGAUGUCGGGAAAGGCCAGCUGG